rnacentral:lncRNA from 1 species
GCUUUUCGCGGGAGAAAUAUUAGCUUGUGUUAGAAUCGGGUAAAUACCGUAAUCGCACAUUGCGAGCUACAGUUACUGCUGGAAAAUCUUCCUAG